ACAGCACAGAGCCUGACACGGGGCUCGAACUCGCAAACUGCGAGAUCAUAACCUGAGCUGAAGUCGGAUGCUCAACCGACUGAGCCAGCCAGGACCCCCCAGAUUUCUUUUUAAGAUGCUUACGAUGCCACACCACCUCAUGAUCCAGGAGCUCGAGCCAGAACUGCCAUGUCCUGGCUGUUCUGCUCCCGGGGCAAGAGUGUUCGCUUCCCCUGGCUGCCUUGGUGCAAGAGAGGCCCGGAGCCCCCCCACCCAGCUGACUGCGAGAAUAAGAAAAGACCCCGGGUCUGGCAGGCAGGUCGGCAGAGUCAGCUUCUCGACUCAGGCCCUCCUUUUGGCUUCGGGCCAGGCUUUACCCAACCCCCAUCUGAAGACAUAGAAAUGUUAUUUUGUGUAAGUUAUUUUCGUAAAUUACUGCCUGUUUCUGGUGCAUAAGCUUCAACCUGGAAUUCGGAAGUGUGGAAUUGUGGGGUUGAGUCACUGGGUGUGUUCCCCCGGGGAGAUAAAUCACCUUGAACUAUGCCUCGGAGAUCCGGGCACUGGGUCCGGACACAGGCUCCAGCUGGACCGGGCUGCUUUGUUCAUAUCGUUUUUCGUUUGUUUGUUUUUUAAUCUCCGUAAGUCACGAAGUCAUGGCUUCUGGGGCAAAGCUGGUGCUUCUCACUUCUGUGACUUCAACUGCACAUCCCAGUCUUGCCCUCAGUGACCCAGGUUAGUCUCUGAAACACGCAUGUAACUUCUAUAAACCCCCUUGAGCUUACCUAAAAGUUUGGUCUGCACAGCACCUGCAGUGUGGACAGAGCGUAAGACCAGGCAUCCCUGGUCCUUGCCAACAGCCGCCACCAUCAUGAAGAUGGUGGUAAUAUUUACUAUUAGAGUUGUCGGUUACUUCUAGCGUAAGUGAGAUUAUUAUGAGUUCUGUUGUCCCGUACGACUCUAUCGUGCAUAAUGAAUACUCUUGGUUGAUUUAAUACUAUUGAUUCGGUAUUUAUAAUGAUUUUAGUGAUAUCAUUGUUACUGUGUUGGUGAUGGUGGCUGGAGGGUGCCUGGACUCCGACGACUUGGGGCGCCUGGCCUGGCACCUGGCCCACAACACCACACGGCAGGGGCACAGGGCGCCUCUGCAGUGAGGCCGUCGACGGCGAUCCCCGAUGGGAGCGGAGGGCUGAGGGCCGCGUCCGUGACCUCAUGCAUCCUGACAGCAGCCUGGUAGAGGAGGCCCUGCCCUCACUGCAUUUCGGGCUGCAGAAGCUGAGGCCUGCAGACGUUGUGGGCCCUGCCGGGGGUCCCACGGUCCGUCCCAGAACAGAAACGCAAACGCGGAGUUCUGCUGUUGGCCACUGUCUUCUUGGCUCCCCAGUGCGCGCUGUGGCCCCCCACUUCACGAGGCCUCCCUCCCUUGUCCGUGAACGGCCAGGCCCAGCUUCAGCUUCGAAGCCCCUUCCGGCCUUUGCGUUCUGAUUCUGAUCCCGUCCAAGCCAUUGUUACCUGCAGCGCAGAGAAAUAUCUCCUUUAAUUUGUUUUAAAAUUCCUUCUGAGCUUCAAGGGGCAUUCCGUACCUUUUUCAUCUCUUCCCGGCGGAGACAGGACUUCGAGAGCAAGAGAAUCUCUUUGAAGUGACCAUCAAAUGCGUUGGAGGAAGACAAAUUAGCACUUUGUAUUGGAACGGUGAAAAGGACGUGGGCUCUACCUGUUGGGGACCCAUGGCCUUUCUUUAGGGACAGCCACAUUCUUGAAGUCCGAGAGCUCUUCAGGCAACAUCUCUGAGGGCGGAGGGAAGCUAAACGAGGCGGUGAGUUCAGGAAACGUGGAGGAAAAGGCUCCAACACCAGAGAGAUUACAAGUCUUUUCUUCUCCAGAGUCAUAGUGCUCUCCCGGGUCUGGAUUACUGAGGUCCCUUUCCUUCCUUGGGGACCUAGCCCCUCCCCACAGCUACCCUGCUUGCUUCCCGGCCCCUUCUGCAUAUCGCUGCCUCAGGGAUGGCUUCAAGAAAAUGAACAAAUUCAUUUCUCGACUGCAGUACGUUCAGACGGCUCAACCUUCCAAAGGCGCCCAAGUCCCCUCAGCCGCCGGCUCCCUUCCUGGAGGCAACUGAUGUUAACGCUCCCUCGAAAGGAUGUUUAUAUUUUAUACCUAGAGAAGUGUUUGUCUCCUUAAAGCAAAUGUUGGGCGUCCUCCACCGCUGAGCACCGCUGUUGCUCUCCAGCCUUCUCGGGCGUCCGUCCUCAAAGCGCUGGAGGCCUGGGCCUGCCCGCCGCCCGGCUCCGCCCCUCUGCUCCUCUCGUGGCCGCUGCCUUUCGCCCCUCCUCCAGCUUCACCUGUGUGGCCCCCUCUCGGGGUCUCCGCACACUGCGCGUGGGGCGUAGACCCUGGUGGGGGGGACUCCCGGUGGUUUCCCUCCCCCUGGUGUCCGCGACCGUGUCCCCCACCUUGAGUGGGAGCAGGUCCAACAGAAGAGGGCAGAGGUGAGGAGGGGGCAGUCCCAUGCUGAUGUUACAUUAUCUGAGACUUCGUCCGAGUGGACCGGAGAGACAGAGUCUCCUUACUGGCUUGACAAGUCAGCUGCCGUGUUGGAGAGGCUCACGAGGGCGGCCUCCAGCCCGCGAGAAACCAGGGCCCGAGUCAGACAUACAGCAGCACGGGAGGGAAUUCUGCCAAUGGCCAGAAUGAGCUCAGAGGCGGAUUCCUCCUCUGUCGAGCCUCCAGAUGAGAACGCAGCCCGACUCCCACCUUGACUGCUGCCCUGUGAGGCCCCCGCAGAGAACCCGGCUGAGCAGCCGUCAGCUCCGAGCCCGGGAAAUAUUCGCAAAGUGAAUGAAUGAGAGAAUGCCGCUUGGGUGAUUCCCCCAGUCUGUACCCAGGGAAGUGAAAUCUUAUCCCAGCUGGCUGGUGGCCCAAGGAGGGAAGGUGCUUAAAAUACAAUGUGACUGUGCCGUCCAGUCUGAACAGGUUUCAGCAACAGGAACAUAUUUGUCCUAAGGCUUCUCUAGGGAGGAUAUUUGGAUUGUUGCCCUGGCUUGGUUUACGUAACUUACCGGAGACUGUUUAGUGAUGUUCCUCAUCACAUCUUCAAAUUGUUUUCCGUUAUCAGUGCUUUCAAAUUCCGCAUUUGGCCGUGGCCCCCUAAAGCUUGUCGAGUUCAACUCCUGCACCCCCGGGUGGGUUGCGCCCCGAGCCUCUGGGGUUCAAGGUUUGAGGACCAUCUUCCAAUUCGGUCUUGGUGCCCUGUGCACAGACUUCCUGUGUCUUCCCUCAUCAUCCUUUUAAUCGACUAGAAUGAGGGUCAGCCAACAGGGCACUUGAUUUAAAAAAAGUUUUUUUAAAUGUUUGUUUAGUUUUGAGAGACAGAGACAGAGCACGAGUCGGGGAGGGGCAGAGAGAGAGGGAGACACAGAAUCUGAAGCAGGCUCCAGGCUCCGAACUGUCAGCACAGGGCCUGAUGCGGGGCUCGAACUCACAGACUGUGAGAUCAUGACCUGAGCUGAAGUCGGACGCUCAACCGACUGAGCCACCCAGGCGCCCCCAGGACACUUGAUUUUAAAGUAUUGAAUAAAGGCAUAUCAUAAAAGUG